rnacentral:miRNA from 12 species
GUGUGCAAAAUUGCUUCUGCUA